rnacentral:rRNA from 1 species
CCUACGGGUGGCAGCAGUGAGGAAUAUUGGUCAAUGGUUGCGAGACUGAACCAGCCAAGCCGCGUGAAGGAUGAAUGCCCUCCGGAUUGUAAGCUUCUUUUAUAAGGGAAUAAAGUCUGGCACGUGUGCCUGUUUGUAUGUACUUUAAGAAUAAGCAUCGGCUAACUCCGUUCCAGCAGCCGCGGUAAUACGGAGGAUGCGAGCGUUAUCCGGAUUUAUUGGGUUUAAAGGGAGCGUAGCUGGGUUGUUAAGUCAGUUGUGAAAGCCUGGGGCUCAACCGUAACACUGCAAUUGAUACUGGCAGCCUAGAGUACAAGUGAGGUAUGCGGAAUUCGUGGUGUAGCGGUGAAAUGCUUAGAUAUCACGAAGAACUCCGAUUGCGAAGGCAGCAUCCUAACUUGACACUGACACUGAGGCUCGAAAGCGUGGGUAUCAAACAGGAUUAGAUACCCCUGUAGUC